rnacentral:rRNA from 1 species
ACUGCUCAGUAACACGUGGACAACCUACCCUCAGCACGGGGAUAAACCCGGGAAACUGGGUAUAAUACCCGAUAGUUCUGGGAUGCUGGAAUGCGCCCAGGACGAAAGCUCCGGCGACUGAGGAUGGGUCUGCGGCCUAUCAGGUAGUAGUGGGUGUAAUGUACCUACUAGCCUACGACGGGUACGGGUUGUGAGAGCAAGAGCCCGGAGAUGGAUUCUGAGACACGAAUCCAGGCCCUACGGGGUGCAGCAGGCGCGAAAACUUUACAAUGCUGGCAACAGCGAUAAGGGGACCUCGAGCGCCAGGAUACAAUCUUGGCUGUCGUAAUGCCUAAAAAGCAUUGCAUAGCAAGGGCCGGGCAAGACCGGUGCCAGCCGCCGCGGUAACACCGGCGGCUCGAGUGGUAACCGCUAUUAUUGGGUCUAAAGGGUCUGUAGCCGGCCGGAUAAGUCUCUUGGGAAAUCCAGCUGCUCAACAGUUGGGCUUUCAGGAGAUACUGUUCGGCUCGAGACCGGGAGAGGUGAGAGGUGCUUCAGGGGUAGGGGUGAAAUCUUGUAAUCCUUGAAGGACCACCAGUGGCGAAGGCGUCUCACCAGAACGGAUCUGACGGCAAGGGACGAAAGCUAGGGGCACGAACCGGAUUAGAUACCCGGGUAGUCCUAGCCGUAAACGAUACUCGCUAGGUGUCGGCCACGGUGCGACCGUGGUCGGUGCCGUAGGGAAGCCGUGAAGCGAGCCACCUGGGAAGUACGGCCGCAAGGCUGAAACUUAAAGGAAUUGGCGGGGGAG